rnacentral:rRNA from 1 species
CCUACGGGGGGUAGCAGUCGAGAAUCAUUCACAAUGGGGGAAACCCUGAUGGUGCGACGCCGCGUGGGGGAAUGAAGGUCUUCGGAUUGUAAACUCCUGUCAUGUGGGAGCAAAUUAAAAAGAUAGUACCACAAGAGGAAGAGACGGCUAACUCUGUGCCAGCAGCCGCGGUAAUACAGAGGUCUCAAGCGUUGUUCGGAAUCACUGGGCGUAAAGCGUGCGUAGGCUGUUUCGUAAGUCGUGUGUGAAAGGCGCGGGCUCAACCCGCGGACGGCACAUGAUACUGCGAGACUAGAGUAAGGGAGGGGGAACCGGAAUUCUCGGUGUAGCAGUGAAAUGCGUAGAUAUCGAGAGGAACACUCGUGGCGAAGGCGGGUUCCUGGACAUUAACUGACGCUGAGGCACGAAGGCCAGGGGAGCGAAAGGGAUUAGAUACCCCAGUAGUC